rnacentral:rRNA from 1 species
UGACGCAGCAACGCCGCGUGAGGGAUGACGGCCUUCGGGUUGUAAACCUCUUUCAGCGGGGACGAAGCGAAAGUGACUGUACCCGCAGAAGAAGCGCCGGCUAACUACGUGCCAGCAGCCGCGGUAAUACGUAGGGCGCAAGCGUUGUCCGGAUUUAUUGGGCGUAAAGAGCUCGUAGGCGGUCUGUCGCGUCGGAUGUGAAAACCCGGAACUCAACUCCGGGCCUGCAUUCGAUACGGGCAGACUUGAGUACUGCAGGGGAGACUGGAAUUCCUGGUGUAGCGGUGGAAUGCGCAGAUAUCAGGAGGAACACCGGUGGCGAAGGCGGGUCUCUGGGCAGAAACUGACGCUGAGGAGCGAGAGCGUGGGGAGCGAACAGGAUUAGAUACCCUGGUAGUCCACGCCGUAAACGGUGGGCACUAGGUGUGGGGACCAUUCCACGGUCUCUGCGCCGCAGCUAACGCAUUAAGUGCCCCGCCUGGGGAGUACGGCCGCAAGGCUA